rnacentral:rRNA from 1 species
GACGAACGCUGGCGGCGUGCCUAAUACAUGCAAGUCGAGCGGACUAAUGGGAGCUUGCUCCCGUUAGUUAGCGGCGGACGGGUGAGUGACACGUGGGCAACCUACCUGUAAGACUGGGAUAACUUCGGGAAACCGGAGCUAAUACCGGAUGACAUAAAGGAACUCCUGUUCCUUUAUUGAAAGAUGGCCUCGGCUAUCACUUACAGAUGGGCCCGCGGCGCAUUAGCUAGUUGGUGAGGUAACGGCUCACCAAGGCGACGAUGCGUAGCCGACCUGAGAGGGUGAUCGGCCACACUGGGACUGAGACACGGCCCAGACUCCUACGGGAGGCAGCAGUAGGGAAUCUUCCGCAAUGGACGAAAGUCUGACGGAGCAACGCCGCGUGAGCGAUGAAGGCCUUCGGGUCGUAAAGCUCUGUUGUUAGGGAAGAAUAAGUGCUAGUUGAAUAAGCUGGCACCUUGACGGUACCUAACCAGAAAGCCACGGCUAACUACGUGCCAGCCGCCGCAGUAAGAC